GUGCUUGCUUCGGCAGCACAUAUACUAAGAUUGGAACUAUACAGAGAAGAUUAGCAUGACUUCCGAGCAAGGAUGACAUGCAGAUUCGUGAAGCAUUCCGUGUUUUU
ensembl:snRNA U6 U6 spliceosomal RNA